GAUGAACGCUGGCGGCGUGCUUAACACAUGCAAGUCGAACGGGAUCCCAGGAGCUUGCUCCUGGGUGAGAGUGGCGAACGGGUGAGUAAUGCGUGACCGACCUGCCCCAUACACCGGAAUAGCUCCUGGAAACGGGUGGUAAUGCCGGAUGCUCCAGUUGACCGCAUGGUCCUCUGGGAAAGCUUUUGCGGUAUGGGAUGGGGUCGCGUCCUAUCAGCUUGAUGGCGGGGUAACGGCCCACCAUGGCUUCGACGGGUAGCCGGCCUGAGAGGGCGACCGGCCACAUUGGGACUGAGAUACGGCCCAGACUCCUACGGGAGGCAGCAGUGGGGAAUAUUGCACAAUGGGCGCAAGCCUGAUGCAGCGACGCCGCGUGCGGGAUGACGGCCUUCGGGUUGUAAACCGCUUUUGACUGGGAUCAAGCCCU
rnacentral:rRNA from 1 species